CCUACGGGUGGCAGCAGUGGGGAAUAUUGGGCAAUGGGCGCAAGCCUGACCCAGCAAUGCAGCGUGAAGGAAGAAGGCUUUCGGGUUGUAAACUUCUUUGACAGGGGAAGAGCAGAAGACGUUACCAUGAAAACAAGCCACGGCUAACUACGUGCCAGCAGCAGGGGUAAUACGUAGGUGGCAACCGUUGUCCGGCAUUACUGGGGGGAAAGGGCGGGUAUCCGGGUAGGCAAGUCAGUUGUGAAAUCUGGAGGCUCAACCUCCAAAUUGCAUUUGAAACUGUUUUUCUUGAGUACUGGAGAGGCAGGCGGAAUUCCAUGUGUAGCGGUGAAAUGCGUAGAUAUAAGGAAGAACACCAGUGGCGAAGGCGGUCUGCUGGACAGCAACUGACGGUGAGGCGCGAAAGCGUGGGGAGCAAACAGGAUUAGAUACCCCUGUAGUC
rnacentral:rRNA from 1 species